rnacentral:rRNA from 1 species
GAUGAACGCUGGCGGCGUGCUUAACACAUGCAAGUCGAACGGAAAGGCUCCUGCUUGCAGGGGUACUCGAGUGGCGAACGGGUGAGUAACACGUGGGUGAUCUGCCCUGCACUUCGGGAUAAGCCUGGGAAACUGGGUCUAAUACCGGAUAGGACCACAUUUUGGAUGGUGUGGUGGAAAGUUUUUCGGUGUGGGAUGAGCUCGCGGCCUAUCAGCUUGUUGGUGGGGUAAUGGCCUACCAAGGCGUCGACGGGUAGCCGGCCUGAGAGGGUGUACGGCCACAUUGGGACUGAGAUACGGCCCAGACUCCUACGGGAGGCAGCAGUGGGGAAUAUUGCACAAUGGGCGCAAGCCUGAUGCAGCGACGCCGCGUGGGGGAUGACGGCCUUCGGGUUGUAAACUCCUUUCGCUAGGGACGAAGCGCAAGUGACGGUACCUGGAGAAGAAGCACCAGCUAACUACGUG